AUUGAACGCUGGCGGAAUGCUUUACACAUGCAAGUCAAGCGGCAGCGCGGGGGCGAACCCUGGCGGCGAGCGGCGAACGGGUGAGUAACAUAUCGGAACGUACCCAGUCGUGGGGGAUAACUAUCCGAAAGGAUAGCUAAUACCGCAUACGUCCUGAGGGAGAAAGCGGGGGAUCGCAAGACCUCGCGCGAUUGGAGCGGCCGAUAUCGGAUUAGCUAGUUGGUGGGGUAAAGGCUCACCAAGGCGACGAUCCGUAGCGGGUCUGAGAGGACGACCCGCCACACUGGAACUGAGACACGGUCCAGACUCCUACGGGAGGCAGCAGUGGGGAAUUUUGGACAAUGGGCGCAAGCCUGAUCCAGCCAUGCCGCGUGAGUGAAGAAGGCCUUCGGUUGU
rnacentral:rRNA from 1 species